rnacentral:rRNA from 10 species
GACCUCAAAUCAGGUAGGACUACCCGCUGAACUUAAGCAUAU